rnacentral:rRNA from 1 species
AUUGAACGCUGGCGGCAGGCUUAACACAUGCAAGUCGAGCGGAGCGGCGGACGGGUGCGUAAUGCCUAGGAAUCUGCCUGGAAGUGGGGGAUAACGACCGCAAACGGGCACUAAUACCGCAUACUCUCAGAUGAGCCUAGGGCGGAUUAGCUAGUUGGUGGGGUAAAGGCAUACCAAGGCGACGCUCCGUAACUGGUCUGAGAGGAUGAUCAGUAACACUGGGACUGAGACACGGUCCAGACUCCUACGGGAGGCAGCAGUGGGGAAGAUUGGGCAAGGGGGGAAAGCCUGAGGCAGCCAUGCCGCGUGUGUGAAGAAGGUCUUCGGAUUGUAAAGUACUUUAGGUUGGGAGGCGUUACCAACAGAAUAAGCACCGGCUAACUUCGUGCCAGCCGCCGCGGUAAUUC